UACGUAGGGCGCAAGCGUUAUCCGGAAUUAUUGGGCGUAAAGAGCUCGUAGGCGGUUCGUCGCGUCGGCUGUGAAAUCCCGAGGCUCAACCUCGGGUCUGCAGUCGAUACGGGCGGACUGGAGUUCGGCAGGGGAGACUGGAAUUCCUGGUGUAGCGGUGAAAUGCGCAGAUAUCAGGAGGAACACCGGUGGCGAAGGCGGGUCUCUGGGCCGAUGACUGACGCUGAGGAGCGAAAGCGUGGGGAGCGAACAGG
rnacentral:rRNA from 1 species